GCAGAGCAUCCUACGGGAGGCAGCAGUGGGGAAUAUUGCACAAUGGGCGCAAGCCUGAUGCAGCCAUGCCGCGUGUAUGAAGAAGGCCUUCGGGUUGUAAAGUACUUUCAGCAGUGAGGAAGGUGGAUAUGUUAAUAGCAUAUUCAUUUGACGUUAGCUGCAGAAGAAGCACCGGCUAAUUCCGUGCCAGCAGCCGCGGUAAUACGGAGGGUGCGAGCGUUAAUCGGAAUUACUGGGCGUAAAGCGCAUGCAGGUGGUUUGUUAAGUCAGAUGUGAAAGCCCGGGGACUCAACCUCGGAAUUGCAUUUGAAACUGGCAAACUAGAGUACUGUAGAGGGGGUAGAAUUUCAGGUGUAGCGGUGAAAUGCGUAGAGAUCUGAAGGAAUACCGGUGGCGAAGGCGGCCCCCUGGACAGAUACUGACACUCAGAUGCGAAAGCGUGGGGAGCAAACAGGAUUAGAUACCCUGGUAG
rnacentral:rRNA from 1 species